CCUACGGGCGGCUGCAGUGGGGAAUAUUGGACAAUGGGCGAAAGCCUGAUCCAGCCAUGCCGCGUGUGUGAAGAAGGCCUUCGGGUUGUAAAGCACUUUCAGUGGGGAAGAAAGCCUUGGGGCUAAUACCCUCGAGGAAGGACAUCACCCACAGAAGAAGCACCGGCUAACUCCGUGCCAGCAGCCGCGGUAAUACGGAGGGUGCGAGCGUUAAUCGGAAUUACUGGGCGUAAAGCGCGCGUAGGCGGUCUGAUAAGCCGGUUGUGAAAGCCCCGGGCUCAACCUGGGAACGGCAUCCGGAACUGUCAGGCUAGAGUGCAGGAGAGGAAGGUAGAAUUCCCGGUGUAGCAGUGAAAUGCGUAGAGAUCGGGAGGAAUACCAGUGGCGAAGGCGGCCUUCUGGACUGACACUGACGCUGAGGUGCGAAAGCGUGGGUAGCAAACAGGAUUAGAUACCCGGGUAGUC
rnacentral:rRNA from 1 species